CAACACCUUUAUUAGGCACAGGUCAGUCUUUGCUCAGGGGCCUGUUUUGAAUUAGUUGUGCUGCAAGAUGCUCCCUCCUGCUCCAAAACGUGACCCCUGGCUGGGCUGGAUCAUGCCCCUGGUCUGCACCAGUCCCCACUGCAGCCUCUCCCACUGCUGUGGGGCACGCUGGCUGCAAGGGCACCCUCCAGCAGCGAUCACUGGUGCCAUAUCCCACUCCCAUCCCGCAAGGCAAGCCCAGGGAUGCUGCAUUUUCCCUCCCCAAGACCACAUCUGAAAUACCCUCCCACAGCUCCUGUCAGAUAUUUACUUGGAUUUGCCAAGAUAUCCCAACCUUUGGCUUUCAGCGUUCAGGCUGAAGCUCUUUAGGAACUCGGGCUGCACCAAACCGUGACAGUUUAGCAAGGAUUAAGCAUUUGAGGCUGGAUUUUUUGAAUCCAGUAGUGCUUGGAUCAGUUCUUGGCCAUGUGCCUUCAGGCUCCAACUUAUUAACCUUCUGUUUUAAAUAAAAAGCAACAGAAAUAAAGAGGGCAGAAAGGGGAGGGUGAGCAUACGUACUGCAUAGGAAGGAAGGUGGUGAUAUAUCAGACAGACAGUACGUUUAACACACUGCUCAUAAUCAUCAUUAAAACUUGCUGGGACACAGAAAACGAAACCUACCCAGAAGAGUGGUGCUGAUGGUGCCUCUGUAAAUCACUGACUUGCUCCAGAAACCCCUGCUCUUAGAGAGGUGUGUACAGUGACCAGCCCUGAUCUCAAGGCAGUUUUGCAGCAGUGGAAAUGCCCAUGAGCAAGUUCCUGCCUGUGAAGCCCAGGGCCCUUCCAACUGCAGAGCUCCAGCACCCGCUCCCUGCCUGCUGCCAGGGGAAGUGGGGAGCUGGAGCAGAGCUGGGCUGAAUUAAGGAAGCAGCAAUCCCAUGGUGGGGAGGUGAAGGUGGGGAUGGAAGGUGGAGCUGAAACCAGCGAGGCUCUUCCCAGAGGGAACCUCACCAUCCUGUUGCAGAGAGGCAGAGGGUUUAGCUCCGGCUCCUGCCAGCCAUGCUCUGCAACAGCCCAAGUCCUUAAACAGGAGAAGUUCCAACACCCAGAGCAAUAAACAGGAACAGCAGAUUCCCAGCCCAGCACAACUGUAUUAAUCCAGAGGCGAAUGUUAUGGAGUGUUUAACUGUUCUGUAAAUACCGAACCCAUAGAAACCAGCAUGAGGGCAAGUGCUACUCAAAUAACCUUUUACCACCUCCGCUCCCUAAGAGCUCUCGCAGUGCCGCAAACAGGCUGGAUGCUUAACAGACACAGCGCAGAUCCUGGGAAGGCAGGCAGAGCACAGCUCAGCAGCUACAGCACGGACAGCACAAACCAGGGGCCUGCUUUAGAAAGCUGGGAGAUCUCUGAUGAGCUUUCUGGGUAUAGGGGACCGUGCCUGGAUUUUACAGGCCCAAACUCGAGGGAGUUUGGAGAAGCAGCAGGCUGGAUUAUUUUACCCAGGGUAACCACAGCUCAUCUUCACAGUGGCACCUGAAACUGGGAUCACACCUACAGAAGACAACCCUGAGCAACAAGGACUCCUGUGCUUGGAGCCAGUUCUUGCUUUAAAAAAAACCUGAAGAUAAACCAAGCCAUCAACACCUUUUCAGUUAAUUAUCACCUACACACCCCAGUACAUCCUUUACAGCCAUGCCCAACAUGGGGUUACUCUUUGCUUUACAUAAGUGCUGCCACACUAGCCUGCUAAAAACAGCGGUGCUGGCUGCUGAGCACAACCCACCCUGUGCUUCCACAGAGACCUCCAUCUCUGCAUUUCGAUUCAGAACAGCAAAUGCUUUAUAAUUG
rnacentral:lncRNA from 1 species